CAUGGCUCAGGAUGAACGCUGGCGGCGUGACUAAUACAUGAAAGUAGAACGCUGAAGGAGGAGCUUGCUCUUCUGGAUGAGUUGCGAACGGGUGAGUAAAGCGUAGGUAACCUGCCUGGUAGCGGGGGAUAACUAUGGGAAACGAUAGCUAAUACCGCAUAACAGUAGAUAUUGCAUGAUAUCUGCUUGAAAGGUGCAAUUGCAUCACUACCAGAUGGACCUGCGUUGUAUUAGCUAGUUGGUGAGGUAACGGCUCACCAAGGCGACGAUACAUAGCCGACCUGCGAUGGUGAUCGGCCACACUGGGACUGAGACACGGCCCAUACUCCUACGG
rnacentral:rRNA from 1 species